UACGGGGGGAGCAAACGUUGCUCGGAAUCACUGGGCGUAAAGGGUGCGUAGGCGGGUCUUUAAGUCAGGGGUGAAAUCCUGGAGCUCAACUCCAGAACUGCCUUUGAUACUGAAGAUCUUGAGUUCGGGAGAGGUGAGUGGAACUGCGAGUGUAGAGGUGAAAUUCGUAGAUAUUCGCAAGAACACCAGUGGCGAAGGCGGCUCACUGGCCCGAUACUGACGCUGAGGCACGAAAGCGUGGGGAGCAAACAGG
rnacentral:rRNA from 1 species